rnacentral:misc_RNA from 1 species
UCCGGUUUGUCACCGGCAGUCUCCUAUGAGUCCCCAACUUAAUGAUGGCAACAUAGGACGGGGGUUGCGCUCGUUGCGGGACUUAACCCAACAUCUCACGACACGAGCUGACGACAGCCAUGCACCACCUGUCUCACGGUUCCCGAAGGCACUCUCGCAUCUCUGCAAGAUUCCGUGGAUGUCAAGGCCAGGUAAGGUUCUUCGCGUUGCAUCGAAUUAAACCACAUACUCCACCGCUUGUGCGGGCCCCCGUCAAUUUCUUUGAGUUUUAGCCUUGCGGCCGUACUCCCCAGGCGGGGUGCUUAAUGCGUUAGCUUCGGCACGGAGGGAGUUGACACCCCCCACACCUAGCACCCAUCGUUUACGGCGUGGACUAC